rnacentral:rRNA from 1 species
ACACGUAGGGGGCGAGCGUUGUUCGGAAUUACUGGGCGUAAAGGGCAUGUAGGCGGCUUUGUAAGCUUGGCGUGAAAUUCCACGGCUUAACCGUGGGAAUGCGUUGAGAACUGCGAGGCUUGAGUGACGGAGAGGGAGCUAGAAUUCCUGGUGUAGGGGUGGAAUCUGUAGAGACCAGGAAGAAUACCAAUGGCGAAGGCAAGCUCCUGGCCGAUGACUGACGCUGAGGUGCGAAAGUGUGGGGAUC